rnacentral:rRNA from 1 species
CCUACGGGAGGCUGCAGUGAGGAAUAUUUGUCAAUGGACGCAAGUCUGAACCAGCCAUGCCGCGUGCAGGAAGACGGCUCUAUGAGUUGUAAACUGCUUUUGUACGAGGGUAAACGCAGAUACGCGUCUCUGUCUGAAAGUAUCGUACGAAUAAGGAUCGGCUAACUCCGUGCCAGCAGCCGCGGUAAUACGGAGGAUUCAAGCGUUAUCCGGAUUUAUUGGGUUUAAAGGGUGCGUAGGCGGUCGGAUAAGUUAGAGGUGAAAUUCCGAGGCUCAACUUCGGAAUUGCGUUUGAUACUGUUCGGCUAGAGAGUAGUUGAGGUAGGCGGAAUGUAUGGUGUAGCGGUGAAAUGCUUAGAGAUCACACAGAACACCGAUUGCGAAGGCAGCUUACCAAGCUACUUCUGACGUUGAGGCACGAAAGCGUGGGGAGCAAACAGGAUUAGAUACCCUAGUAGUC